AUACCUUUCUCGGCCUUUUGGCUAAGAUCGAGUGUAGUAUCUGUUCUUAUCAGUUUAAUAUCAGAUACGUGGUCCAAUCGACCACACGAUAUUAAAUUAUUUCUUUUAGGGGUAGGCCCGUUACAGUAGCUUGCUUCUGGGGCCUUCAAGCGUCGCCCAUGCGCUGCAUUAUUGCACGGACCUGGCGCACCUCAC